CAGUCGCCACGGGAAUACGUAGGGUGCAAGCGUUAAUCGGAAUUACUGGGCGUAAAGCGUGCGCAGGCGGUUUGUUAAGUCUGCUGUGAAAUCCCCGGGCUCAACCUGGGAAUGGCAGUGGAUACUGGCUCGCUAGAGUGUGUCAGAGGAUGGUGGAAUUCCCGGUGUAGCGGUGAAAUGCGUAGAGAUCGGGAGGAACAUCAGUAGCGAAGGCGGCCAUCUGGGACAACACUGACGCUGAGGCACGAAAGCGUGGGGAGCAAACAGGAUUAGAUACCCCUGUAGUCCCUGUCUCUUAUAC
rnacentral:rRNA from 1 species